GACGAACGCUGGCGGCGUGCCUAAUACAUGCAAGUUGAGCGCUGAAGGUUGGUACUUGUACCAACUGGAUGAGCAGCGAACGGGUGAGUAACGCGUGGGGAAUCUGCCUUUGAGCGGGGACAACAUUUGGAAACGAAUGCUAAUACCGCAUAAAAACUUUAAACACCAGUUUUAAGUUUGAAAGAUGCCAUUGCAUCACUCAAAGAUGAUCCCGCGUUGUAUUAGCUAGUUGGUGAGGUAAAGGCUCACCAAGGCGAUGAUACAUAGCCGACCUGAGAGGGUGAUCGGCCACAUUGGGACUGAGACACGGCCCAAACUCCUACGGGAGGCAGCAGUAGGGAAUCUUCGGCAAUGGACGAAAGUCUGACCGAGCAACGCCGCGUGAGUGAAGAAGGUUUUCGGAUCGUAAAACUCUGUUGGUAGAGAAGAACGUUGGUGAGAGUGGAAAGCUCAUCAAGUGACGGUAACUACCCAGAAAGGGACGGCUAACUACGUG
rnacentral:rRNA from 1 species